GUGCCAGCCGCCGCGGUAAUACGGGGGGGACUAGCGUUGUUCGGAUCUACUGGGCGUAAAGGGCGUGUAGGCGGGCCUUCAAGUCGGAUGUGAAAACCGGUGGCUUAACCACCGGCCUGCAUACGAUACUGUGGGUCUUGAGUACGAGAGAGGAAAGCGGAAUUCCAGGUGUAGCGGUGAAAUGCGUAGAUAUCUGGAAGAGCACCAGUAGCGAAGGCGGCUUUCUGGCUCGAUACUGACGCUAAAGCGCGAAGGCUAGGGGAGCAAACAGGAUUAGAUACCCGAGUAGUCC
rnacentral:rRNA from 1 species